rnacentral:rRNA from 1 species
CUAUAACAAAGAGAAGCGAGACGGAGACGUUAAGCGAAACCCAAAAAAGUAAGUCUCAGUUCGGAUUGAAGGCUGAAAUUCGCCUUUAUGAAGCCGGAAUUGCUAGUAAUGGCAGGUCAGCAUACUGCCGUGAAUACGUUCCCGGGCCUUGUACACACCGCCCGUCACACCAUGAGAGUUGGGAAUACCCGAAGCCUGUGAGCUAACUUUUAGAGGCAGCAGUCGAAGGUAGAAUCAAUGAUUGGGGUGAAGUCGUAACAAGGUACC